rnacentral:rRNA from 1 species
GAUGAACGCUGGCGGCGUGCCUAAUACAUGCAAGUCGAGCGAACGGACGAGAAGCUUGCUUCUCUGAUGUUAGCGGCGGACGGGUGAGUAACACGUGGAUAACCUACCUAUAAGACUGGGAUAACUUCGGGAAACCGUAGCUAAUACCGGAUAAUAUUUUGAACCGCAUGGUUCAAAAGUGAAAGACGGUCUUGCUGUCACUUAUAGAUGGAUCCGCGCUGCAUUAGCUAGUUGGUAAGGUAACGGCUUACCAAGGCAACGAUGCAUAGCCGACCUGAGAGGGUGAUCGGCCACACUGGAACAGAGACACGGUCCAGACUCCUACGGGAGGCAGCAGUAGGGAAUCUUCCGCAAUGGGCGAAAGCCUGACGGAGCAACGCCGCGUGAGUGAUGAAGGUCUUCGGAUCGUAAAACUCUGUUAUUAGGGAAGAACAUAUGUGUAAGUAACUGUGCACAUCUUGACGGUACCUAAUCAGAAAGCCACGGCUAACUACGUG